GAGGUUUAACGGCCGCGGUAUUCUGACCGUGCAAAGGUAGCAUAAUCACUUGUUUCUUAAUUAGGGACUAGAAUGAACGGCAAAACGAGGGUUUAACUGUCUCUUAUUUCUUAUCAGUGAAAUUGACCUUCCCGUGAAGAGGCGGGAAUACACAAAUAAGACGAGAAGACCCUAUGGAGCUUUAAUUUUUUAACUCAUUUCUUUCUCUUUUCAAUCUAAUGAACUAACAUCCAAAUCUCUGAGUUAAAAAUUUCGGUUGGGGUGACCUCGGAGAAUAGAAAAUCCUCCGAAAGAUUUUAGCCUAGGCUGACAAGCCAAAGCACUAACCUUUAAUCAAAUUGACCCAAUAACUUGAUCAACGAACCAAGUUACCCUAGGGAUAACAGCGCUAUCUUAUUUGAGAGUUCCUAUCGAAAAUAGGGUUUACGACCUCGAUGUUGGAUCAGGAUAUCCUAA
rnacentral:rRNA from 1 species